rnacentral:lncRNA from 10 species
CUGCCUAUCACUCCAAUCUCAGCCCCUGUCUUCACGUGGCCUUCUCCUCUUCUCUCCUUUCUUAGUCUCUUAUGACACUUGUCCCUGCAUUUAGGGCUCACCCAGAAAUCCAGGAUGAUCUCGCUUCGAGAUCCUUAACUGAAUUACGUCUGCAAAGAUUGUUUUUCCAAAUAAGGUCACGUUCUGGGGAUUAAGACUCAGCUAUAUCUUUUCUGGGGGGCCACCAUCCAACCGCCUACAGUGGGAAGUGCAGAGGUUACCCGGGAGACUCUCUUUCUUCUGCUAGGAACCAUUGAGCUCCUGUAGAUCUAACGCCUGGUGCAUAGAAGGCCUUGCCAGUCUUGACCAGAGAGCAGAGGGGACCACAGCCCGAGCCCCCUGCUGCCUCCCAGAGCGAGGCUCUCCUCAUCGUGGACUCACCGCCCUCUGUGUGCCUCGUCCAUCACAUACAUCCUAAGUGUCCCUCCCAGCCUGUGAGCUUCUAGAAGGCAUUGCAACCCGGCACAGGAGCUGACACUUACAAAUAUUCAGGAACAAGCCAGUCCUCGAAGUCUCAUGUAGGGGAAAGAUCAUGAGAUCUGGAGGUGAAGGAGUGGCCCUAACUGGCCCUAAACACUUCAAGUGCCCCUGGGCACGUGGUUUCAUGGCUCUGAGCCUCGAUUUCUUCCUCUGGGUCUUCCUCUGUCACCCAGGCUGCAGUGCAGUGGCGCAAUCAUGGCUCACCGCAGCCUCCACCUCCUGGGAUCAAGGGAUCCUCCCACCUCAGCACCCCGAGUAGCUGGGACCACAGGCGGACGCCACAGCAUCUGGCUGUUUGUAUAUUUUGUAGACAGGGUUUCACCAUGUUGGCCAGGCUGGUCUCGAAUUCCUGGGCUCAAAUGAUCCACCUGCCUCAGCCUCCCAAAGUGCUAGGAUUACAGGAGUGACCCACCGUGCCCAGCACCCCCUUUACCUCUGAGCAAUCCAUCUCUCUCCUUGGGGGCACCCCAUGAUCUAGACACCACCCACCUUGUUCUGCCUUGGCCAAAAUACCACCUAACUGCCCCCACCUAUGCCAGGUGCCCCUCACCCACCCUCCUCCACCCUUCGCUGAGUCCCACUUGGCUGGUGCCCAGGACAGGGACAGUCCCAGCCCUUCCAGCCCAUCUCCCCACAUCAGUACACUCCGGAGAGCCAGCCAAGAGUAGAUUCUUUAUUCAUUUCUCUUUUUUUUCUUAAAAAAAAAAGUAUUCAUUUGGUAUAAAAAAUAAAUAUUUUAAAUAUGAC